UUGGUUUAAAUCACUAUGGAUCUACACUUUGAAAAUUCAACCCACACAAAGUGGUGAAACAUAUAUUAAUUUCAUCCGA
rnacentral:pre_miRNA from 1 species